rnacentral:rRNA from 1 species
AUUGAACGCUGGCGGCAUGCCUUACACAUGCAAGUCGAACGGUAACAGGUCUUCGGAUGCUGACGAGUGGCGAACGGGUGAGUAAUACAUCGGAACGUGCCCGAUCGUGGGGGAUAACGCAGCGAAAGCUGUGCUAAUACCGCAUACGAUCUACGGAUGAAAGCGGGGGAUCGCAAGACCUUGCGCGGACGGAGCGGCCGAUGGCAGAUUAGGUAGUUGGUGGGAUAAAAGCUUACCAAGCCGACGAUCUGUAGCUGGUCUGAGAGGACGACCAGCCACACUGGGACUGAGACACGGCCCAGACUCCUACGGGAGGCAGCAGUGGGGAAUUUUGGACAAUGGGGGAAACCCUGAUCCAGCCAUGCCGCGUGAAGGAAGACGGCCUUAUGGGUUGUAAACUUCUUUACUACGCGAAUAGAGGUUAGUACGAGAUACUAAUAGGAAGGUAGUGUAGUAAAAAGCACCGGCUAACUCCGUG